UAGAUACCCUGGUAGUCCACGCCGUAAACGAUGAUAACUAGCUGUCAGGGCUCUUAGAGCUUUGGUGGCGCAGCUAACGCGUUAAGUUAUCCGCCUGGGGAGUACGGCCGCAAGGUUAAAACUCAAAGAAAUUGACGGGGGCCUGCACAAGCGGUGGAGCAUGUGGUUUAAUUCGAAGCAACGCGCAGAACCUUACCAGCGUUUGACAUGGUAGGACGGUUUCCAGAGAUGGAUUCCUUCCCUUACGGGA
rnacentral:rRNA from 1 species